rnacentral:rRNA from 1 species
AGCGAACGCUAGCGGCGGGCCUAACACAUGCAAGUCGAGCGCAUACCUUCGGGUAUGAGCGGCGGACGGGUGAGUAACGCGUAGGUCAUCUACCCUUUGGUGGGGGAUAACCCAGGGAAACUUGGGCUAAUACCGCACGAGGUCUACGGAUCAAAGCCUUCGGGCGCCAGAGGAUGAGCCUGCGUCGCAUUACCUAGUUGGCGGGGUAACGGCCCACCAAGGGGACGAUGCGUAGCUGGUCUGAGAGGAUGAUCAGCCACACUGGGACUGAGACACGGCCCAGACUCCUACGGGAGGCAGCAGUGGGGAAUAUUGCGCAAUGGGGGAAACCCCGACGCAGCCACGCCGCGUGGGUGAUGAAGGCCUUCGGGUUGUAAAGCCCUGUCGGGAGGGACGAAUUCUUGACGGUACCUCCAAAGAAAGCACCGGCUAACUCCGUGCCAGCAGCCGCGGU